AGGUUCCACGUCCGGCGCCUGGAGAAAGAAGACGCGCGUCCCCGGCCGCGGCGCCGGAGCCGGCUGGGGGACCGCCUGGUCCCGGGCCAGAGCUGGGAGGCGGUGUUCCGUGAGCCGCCUGGUCUGGGGUGCGGGGGGCGGGAAGCGGCCCCUUCGUGUGCGCUUGGGCGAGGCCGGGCGGCGCUUCUAUCCUCCUACUCGGACCCUCAGGUUUCUGGUCCUCAUACCGUGUGGUUGAGUGAAAUCAAAACUUCCACGAUAGCAAUGCUGAUUGGACAAAGAAUGUGUUGUGGACACAAAACCAAACUCUGGAGGACAGAGGAUUCAUUCCAAGGGUCUGCUUGUAUUCAAUGACUGGUCUACGUGGGGGUGUGAAGUCCCCUUACUCCACCUGUGAAGAGUCAUCCCAGUUUCAGACCCCCCUCCCCAGCCUCCUGUUAUUGGCUAAGGCCAUUUUGUGACUACACUGCAGGUAGAGAUGGAUUCCCGGAAAUACCUCCUCAAGGCCAGUGUAGAGCCCUCAAUCACCCACUGCCCCCAGCUUCUCCUUCUCCCAUCUCCUGCACCAAGCAGGUCUCCAGGUGUUCCAGCUGCUGAUGACGUAAAGUGUGGAGUUGGUCCAGGAAGGUCAUGUUCCAUGCAGCAGAGGAGCGCUUUGUGUGAGAAGUUGAAGACCUGCUGUAACACAUCAUAGAGGAAAGACAUAGCCUGGGCCUUCUGCAACUGGCUGACUUCCACCUUCUCCUGGGGGAAUCUGAAGUCACUUCUGUCCUUUAGACACAAGAAGCGAGAGAUUCUCCUCAUUUGGCCCAGAAGCACCAAGGUGUUCCUGCCUAGCAGGCCAUGGUUCUGAGGCAGGUUAUAUCCUAGAGAUCCAGAAGAGCCACAGCUGCACACCUCUAGGGCUGCCAGUAGAGGGAAGAGGAGGGCCAUUGAGAAAUCAGGAUGCUUUUGGCCUGGUUGAGCUGAGGUCUUCAUAGAACCUUGGAUCCUAGGUUCUAUGAAGACAUUCUAUCUAUGCAUGGCUUUAAUGGAGCACAAAUAGUUUUCAUUUUUCUGAGCAUUUCUCUAAAUUUGUAAUUCCAUUUAUUGUUUUCAUUUACAUGUCUUCUAUAUCAGCAUCCACAACCUUUUGGCCACCAGUUUGGUGGAAGAUAAUUUUUCCACGAAAAAUGGGUUCAGGGAGGGAAUGUUUUCAGAGGCAUUAGAUUCUCAUUAGGAGACCACAACCUAGAUCCUUCGCAUCUGCACUUCACAAUAGGGUUCCUGCUCUUUUGAGAAUCCAGUGCCACUGCUGAUCUGACAGGAGGCAGAGCUCAGGCGUUAAUGCUUGUUGGUUGGCCUGCUUGCCUCCUGCUGUGCGGCCCUGUUCCUACCAGGCCAGGACCGGUACCCCGGUCCAUGGAUGGGGGUUGAAAAACCUUGUUCUACAUGACCUAAAAGGAGGUCAUCACUCUACACUCUUGAUUUUUGCAAUGGAUGUUCAAUAUUCCCAGUAAACUUAAGAUAUAUCAAUCCAAAUGAAUAUUGAUCGAUCAGAUUUCAGAAACAUCUUUGUGCUACUGUUAGAAGUAUAUACUUUUAGCCCAGAUCCUAGCCUCCAGUUUUACCCUCCAUUUUGCAUAGGAAAUCAGGAUCCCUGGGCCCUAUGGGUUUCUGUAUUCAGUUAGGAAAUUACCUAUCUCUGGAAAUUAAACUUUUUAGGACUAUCUUUGUUUGAAAUUUGAUUCACAGAAGACGUUGAUGGUUAUUAGUGAAAGAACUUCUCUGGUGCUUCCCUCCUUCUAGAAUAUAUUCAUUCAGGUUCAUGUGGUUAUGCUUCCCUGAGGGCUCAAGCUUAGAUCAAUGAACAUUGCCUUUUUUGCAUUAUUUUCUUACUGGAGAAAUAUAGCACUCCUCAGGCUGUGCCAAUACCCCUAAAAGAAAUUCUGUUGGUUUGUUUUUUUUUUUUCCUUUUUUAAGGUGCAUAUGGGUGUGGAAAUUUUAAUCUUAAAAUAAUGUUUUUUCCUCAGCACUGAUGACUCACAAGGUAUUUAUCACAUCAAGUCACUCCCUAAAUGCAGGCUCACCACAUCCUGAUGACUUUAGAACUCCUUUUCCAAGGAGGUUCUUGCUUCUUUGUUGCCAAAACAAUAAAUCCUUUGUGACCUUUGUC